UCCAAAUGAGAAAUUGACUGGCACUCCGGGCCAAUGGGAGGCGGCGAGAGCGGCCGCGAUUAGCAUAAUAGUAUAGAAACAAGGAAACUUUUCGGAGCUGUCAAUCAGGGCCCAAUCAGCUGACUGUCAGCUGGGACGGGCUGGCUUAACCCUUCCUGCGCCGCUGCCUACCCGGGAGGGAACGAGGCCCGGCGCAAAGUUUGGUGUAAGAGGGGAAGGAGUUUUUCCAGAGGGGCUUCGGCAACCCGGGCAGACUUGGAAGGACGGUUUGCUUUUCUUUGGAGCGCGAGACAGGACUUCUACCCGGAGCCCCAGCUCGCCGGGGGCUCACUCGGCUGGGAUUGGCCUGAUUCCCCUCCCCUGCCUGCCCUCCACUCCCAGAAUUAUGAAUUCGCCUCCCACCUUUUCCUCCUCGCACCACCUCUGGCACCCAGGUGUCUGCCGGGGGACCUUCCUUCCGUGAGCCUGGCGGUGCCCGGCGCUCAAACUUGGCCCCAACUCUUUGACCCUUUCUCGGGCGCCCGGGGAGGGGAAGGGACCGGGUAGCGAGGGAUGCGCUGGGGUGUUCGGAGCGGGGCUGCGGGCUGGACGCUGCCCGGCCGUGCGCCUGCCGGGAAUGCUGUGAGUCCGUGGUGAGAGAAAGCCCAUUUUAUCACUCUAUUCUUAAAGGAGGUAAAAUAAGUUGGUUAGAGGCCAUUCUUCACGGGGACUGGCUGCCCGCUGGGGUCGCGUGCCCUUGGACGGACCCAGCACCUAUGCGAGAUAACUCCAGGGAAGCUCAAAGUCAGGUCAGCCGGGCUCAGCCCUCCGGCUCCUGACUGGCCAGAGUUUGGCCUUUGAGACUCAGAUUGGUCGCUCGCUCUCUCUCUCUCUCUCACACACACACACACACACAUUCUCUCUCUCUCUCUCUCUCUCUCUCUCUCUCUCUCUCACCCAUCCCCUUACGAAAUCUGACCUCUGUUUAUCAGGGUCAGGCGCGCCCUUUGCACUUUUACAUUUCCUUUAUUUAUUUCGGACUUGAUCGUGGCGGGGAGCAAGGGGGAAAAACAAUACCCCAGCCCUCACCAGCUCCCCUCGAAGGGUUAAAUUUUAAACGGCGGUUUCUGGAACUAGCCCGGAAACCCAGAGUAGGGGGGUGGGGUGGGGGAGGCUGUUCCCCCCACCCCAGUUGCAAAUGCUAAUAAGUAGUUCCAUUUUCUAGAUCGAUUCUGUUAAAGUGUAUGCAAAAAAGAAAUAAAAAAGAAAGAAAAAGAAAAGAGAAAGAAGGAAACCAACAACUAACUCUGUUUCUAAGAUUUUAAAGCGAUAGGCAAGUCGAAGAAGCAGAGAUUUAUUUGGAGAGAAAGCCCCUGAAACCGACCCGGCCUUUGAAAGACCAGUCCGCCUGCUUAGAAGUUGGGACUGUUGAUUCCUUCAAUUAAUGAAAUGCAUUUGGUGUUGUUAAUCGUAUUUAUUUUACUUUAUGUGGGGGGGAAGACGCUAGGAGGGUGCAUUAAAAAAAAAAAAAAAAUUCUGAAAAGCCUGCAAAAAGAUCGAAGAGUGGAAACUAUUGUUGGAGCGAGUUGGUUUUUACCUCAACAGCGCCACCUUUCGGCAAAGGGUUCUUCCUUGGAAAACAAUAUACAUCACUUAAUGAAAUCUGUUUGUUUUGCACAAGAGACAUAAAAAAUCCAGACGUUUUCUUCAGUGAGAAUUCCUGGGAAGUUGUACCAGCUUUCUUCUCUUACUUCACCUGACAAAGACCCAACGCGGCCGCGCAGACCGGAGAAUUCAUCUUAUGGAACCUCAGACUGGAGGAAGUUUGGAGAUCUGAUCUUAACACCAUCCUUCCAACCAGUAUAGCAGCUUGAAUCUGGUUUAGAUCACCAACUUCCCUGCCAUUUCCUGACGCCAAUUUUGAAGCCAGGGAGCUCAGAGGCAUUUUCUUCAACAGAAGAGUUCAGAGUUUCAGUGUCCACCUUUGAGCUACAAGUAGUCCCUCAGUGAUGCCCUCAAGCCAGGCCAGCUGCCCACUCUCUCUGCUGGUUUGCGUCUGAGUCCUCACAGUGCCCCGAGAGUUAGUACCCACCUGUGAACUGCUUAAAGACAGGGACACCGCGUCUCUUCUCUCCAUCUCCUUCGCCUACUACAGAGCUCAGCAUACAGGAGGUACAAAGCACAGAUCCACUGUUGGGCAACCAUGAUGGGCCAGCUGCCAAGGAGAUGGGAGAACCAGGGCCUGGAAAAGAGGAACAUCUGCGAAGCACAGCCUGAACCAUGAAGACUCCCCAGGCGUCAAGUCACCCAGGGGGCUGUGGACUGUGGGGGAGUAUUGUGGGGUGAGGAGCCUGGGGCUCAGACCAGCUUGCGGUGAGCAUCCUCCUACGCCAAGGAGCCAAAAUGACUGCACAGUGCGAGGGCGGCGGUGCAGGCUUGGAAAACAAAACCUGCCUCCUCUCUGUCUCCUCUGAUGGGAAGCCAGGGCCAGUGGAGGGGUCUGGUUCACGGCCCAGAGCCACCAAAACCACUUGGCUCUGAAUGAUCUGACUUGAGGGCUAACCCAAGCCUUGUGAAAUCCCAAGAGAAUAACUUCAGGUUCUGUAAUUCUAGUGCAGACUGUAGAUGCUGUUGCAAGAGAAGAAAAGGAAAUAAUGACCCAAGUCAGUAAUUGUACUUUCCAGUAGUCCCAAUGCAUAGUUUAUAUGAGCAUCCUAUAAGAGCCACUGACAUCUUAAUAAAGGUAGUUAAUAGUACACAUUGCUAUUCAGUGACAGCCACACCUUGCACCCCUUUGGUAGAACCCCAAGGGUCAGAAGAUGAUCUACUGAAUAUGGCCCAGCAGGGUAACAGGAACUGACGGGUCCUUGAAGACAGUAUUCAGCCAGGGCAUCCAAUCUAGAAUCUCCCCUCACCUACAAAUCUCUGAGUAAGAUAAAUAUUUCAUUUUGCAAGCUGUGUGUUUUGUUGCUUGCAGCUAAGAGCAUUCUAACUCACAUAAUUUCUUCAGAGACACUUCUCUAAUAUGCCUAGUUCUGAAUGAACUCAUGCUUCCCACACUACCCUUUGAGUACUUCUUUUACAGAGUUUACCAUUGCCUAUUUGUCUUACCUCUGUCGUACAUCUGUGAGCUCUUUGAAGACAGGGAUAGUAUCUUAUCCUCUAUCCAUUCAAAUCCCCAAAUAAGUAUAUAAAUGGAUAAAUACAUGUAGUCAAUUACUUUGGAAAUUAGAUAUUGUUGUGAGUAUAAUAGGAUGUGUUUCUCGGGUGGCCCUUAAGGCCAACAGGGAGAUUUCCUUGCCCCACAUUUCAAUGAGGAAGGUCGACUUCUGCUCCAGCCUUGAAAACUCUUAUGAGAACAGAAGCAUGUUCAUUAUUUGUCAGUAUACUUUAAACCAGAUUAAAGUGCCACCUCCCCCAAAAAAUGACACAAGGAAAACUUGAUAUCUAAUGCUAAUGAAUUAUGUGUUCCUGGGUCUUUUUUCCCUCCAUCUUCAUUUCUUAUCUGCAUAAAAGAAUGUUCGUUUUGUUUUUGACUGACUUUACCAGAAGUCACACUUGUAUGGGUAUAAAAAGCUAAUAAAAGUGUCUACA